UGAACUGCAAUGGCGUGUGUUGCGAAAGAGCCGUGAAAUGUGUCUCGAAUGUUUAAUAGCAGAAUACAGUAAAAUUUGUCGGCUAUUACUACUUUUCCUCGACGAGACAGUCUGAAUUGCGACUUUUAGUGAGUAUGUGUCUUAAAGAACUGAACGUAAAGACCAAAAUGCCGACGCAACCUUCGUCAACACCGUGCGAAUGUCGGAAAAGAAAGCACGUUGAGUGGUUCUCGAGGAAAGCCAGCAAGAAGAUGCACAUUCUUCCCAUUACCUAAGAUGUGUGCAAGACGUCAAAGAUGUUGUCAAACUGACAGGAUAGUGACUUCACAAGCCAUGAGUCAACAUCAUGAGCCACAGACGCAACAUCCAUCGCUAAUGUCUCUACCGGAUUCCUGGACUCUUAAAGAGCGGAUGGACUUAACUUGAGAAAAGGGUAGAUCCAUGGCAUUAGGAGGACAGAAACUGUUCAACUUUGAUUGAUACAUGUGCUUCUCCUCUGUAAAGACAACAUAGUAUGCCAGUUCUCAUUUGGAGUCAAACAACUGAUAUUGUUCUGAGGUUUUUGGCUACUUUUGAUUCAAGCAUUUGCCUGAAAAAUUAAAAGUAACAUGCUUAUUUUAUACAGGGUUAUUUAUGACUAGUGCCAUGGAUUUUGCCCUGUUUAAUUGUGUUGAAACCAGGCACAUAUUAUAUACAAAUACCCGAACCAGACCUUGUUUAAUUAGUUUUAAGAGUUAUACUUUUAUUUUAAGAGUUAUACUUUUAAACAUUAGUUAGUACACAUGCAAAUGUUCCAUCUCAUGAAAUGAAGUGUUUGGUUGCCAUUUACAAAUCAAAGUAAAUCCCCAUUUUUAUCUACUGUUAAUGCAAAGGAAAGCACAUCGUGAACGUGCCUGAAAGCCUUUGAGCAUCCAACAUUUUUUGUUGUCAUUUCUGUGAAAAAUUACAGUGCCCCAGCUCUUUUUAAAGCUCUGUUCUUAUGAACAACAGUUUGAAUUUAUUGUAUUAAUUUAGUCUGGUUCUAAAACAGUAAGGGCAGAUUGGUAUGUGCCUGGUUUCAUUUUAUUGCUUUGAAAUUUAAUUUUCUAAGAUACCGGUAUAGCCUUAUUAUUCAGUUUCUUUUUAUUGAAAUAGCUCAUACAAUCUACAAAUUUUUAAUUAAUUUUAAACAAACCAUGCAAUCUACACUAGCACAUCAUAUGAACUUUUGGUAUUAUGAUUUUAAUUUAAAGGUUCAGUCAUAGCUGGAAUGCAUCGCCUUCGUGCCUGUAUUGGAGAGGAAGCCCUGGCAGUUAUUGCCAGUCAUUACCAAGUAAUUGGAACACUGCCUCACUUGAACUAGUUAAAAUGGGAUACUGAAUCAAAAAUAUGUUCCCGAUUUAAGAUACAUUGGAGGUGUGAUUCAUUUGUGGAACAUAAUAUAUGUAUUUGAAUUCGUGCACCAAGAAAGGAAGUUCUUGAAUUGGUGCCGUCUCUUUUCUUUUCGUUUUUUUGUUAAAAUGAGAUGCACACUUCAGAUGCAACUUAGCAUGAAAAUCUUUGGCAUAAAUUUGUGUACUGUAUGAUGUGCUAGUGUAGAUUUGUGCAAACAUUUGGCUAAAUAAAGUGUACGUUGUCGCUGUCGUGUGAUUUUAUUUCAUAAGUACAUCUGCUGUCUAUUAUUAGACUUCACAACUUGGACUUUUACACACAAAAAGAACACAUAUUUGCUAAAAGCUGUUGUUAACAUGGCGCUGUGUACAAUUUCUAAGCUAUUUGAAAAGGGAAUCCUUUAUUGCGUUAAGCCUAAAAAAAAAGAUCAACAGUAAACAAUCAAAAUACCAAAAUCACCUCUUGAAAUAGACAGCAGAUGUACUGAUUUCCAGGGUAAUGUAUAUUUAAAAAAAACACACUGCACCAUUAAUUCAAAUGCAUAGUACAAGAAACAAACUCGUCACUUUAUUAAAACAAACUUCGAAAAAGCUUGGUGCAGUGUGUGUUUCACAAGGGGAGGGGAAAUGAAUGUGUAGAUUAAAUUUUUUCUGUUCUGUGAUAGCGCCCUCUGUUGCCAUAAAAUUGAUGUAUGUUACAGGGAUAGUGACUGAAUAGAGGGCGCUCUUGUUGGACUUAAAACGGCAUCAAAUAAAGACCAUAGAACUGA